GUUUCUAAAGGAAAAAAGCUAAUCCUUUGGUCUUAGACCCCAACAUUCUCGGUGCAAAUCCGUGUAAAAACU
rnacentral:tRNA from 1 species